rnacentral:rRNA from 1 species
CCUACGGGAGGCAGCAGUGAGGAAUAUUGGUCAAUGGCCGUAAGGCUGAACCAGCCAAGUCGCGUGAAGGAAGAAGGAUUUAUGGUUUGUAACUUCUUUUUAUAGGGGAAUAUAGGUAUCCAUGCGUGGAUAUUUGCAUGCACCUUAUUAAUAAGCAUCGGCUAACUCCGUGCCAGCAGCCGCGGUAAUAUGGAGGAUGCGAGCGUUGUCCGGAUUUAUUGGGUGUUAAGGGUGCGUAGGUUGUUUUUUAAGUCAGCGGUGAAAGUUUGUGGCUCAACCAUAAAAUUGCCGUUGAAACUGGAAGACUUGAGUGUGUUUGAGGUAGGCGGAAUGCGUGGUGUAGCGGUGAAAUGCAUAGAUAUCACGCAGAACUCCGAUUGCGAAGGCAGCUUACUAAGCCAUAACUGACGCUGAAGCACGAAAGCGUGGGGAUCAAACAGGAUUAGAUACCCGGGUAGUC